AGGCCAUGGUGUGGACAUUUCUGAAGCAAGUCUUUAUACCUCUCCCAUGCUUUGUAUAGAGACUCAGAAUCCAACUGCGUGAAAGAAGUAUUAUUGUUUCUCAUCUU
rnacentral:snoRNA from 1 species